rnacentral:rRNA from 1 species
UGGGGAAUAUUGCACAAUGGGCGCAAGCCUGAUGCAGCCAUGCCGCGUGUAUGAAGAAGGCCUUCGGGUUGUAAAGUACUUUCAGCGGGGAGGAAGGUGUUGUGGUUAAUAACCACAGCAAUUGACGUUACCCGCAGAAGAAGCACCGGCUAACUCCGUGCCAGCAGCCGCGGUAAUACGGAGGGUGCAAGCGUUAAUCGGAAUUACUGGGCGUAAAGCGCACGCAGGCGGUCUGUCAAGUCGGAUGUGAAAUCCCCGGGCUCAACCUGGGAACUGCAUCCGAAACUGGCAGGCUUGAGUCUUGUAGAGGGGGGUAGAAUUCCAGGUGUAGAGGUGAAAUGCGUAGAGAUCUGGAGGAAUACCGGUGGCGAAGGCGGCCCCCUGGACAAAGACUGACGCUCAGGUGCGAAAGCGUGGGGAGCAAACA